rnacentral:rRNA from 1 species
GACUCUGGGAUAAGCCUUGGAAACGAGGUCUAAUACCGGAUAUGUGACGUUCAGGCAUCUGAUGCGUCUGGAAAGAUUUAUCGGUCAGGGAUGGACUCGCGGCCUAUCAGCUUGUUGGUGGGGUAACGGCCUACCAAGGCGACGACGGGUAGCCGGCCUGAGAGGGCGACCGGCCACACUGGGACUGAGACACGGCCCAGACUCCUACGGGAGGCAGCAGUGGGGAAUAUUGCACAAUGGGCGCAAGCCUGAUGCAUCGACGCCGCGUGAGGGAUGAAGGCCUUCGGGUUGUAAACCUCUUUCAGCAAGGAAGAAGCGCAAGUGUUUUUUUUCUGCAGAAGAAGCGCCGGCUAACUACGUGCCAGCAGCCGCGGUAAUACGUAGGGCGCAAGCGUUGUCCGGAAUUAUUGGGCGUAAAGAGCUCGUAGGCGGUCUGUCGCGUCUGCUGUGAAAACUCGAGGCUCAACCUCGGGCUUGCAGUGGGUACGGGCAGACUAGAGUGCGGUAGGGGAGACUGGAAUUCCUGGUGUAGCGGUGGAAUGCGCAGAUAUCAGGAGGAACACCGAUGGCGAAGGCAGGUCUCUGGGCCGCAACUGACGCUGAGGAGCGAAAGCAUGGGGAGCGAACAGGAUUAGAUACCCUGGUAGUCCAUGCCGUAAACGUUGGGCACUAGGUGUGGGGCUCAUUCCACGAGUUCCGUGCCGCAGCAAACGCAUUAAGUGCCCCGCCUGGGGAGUACGGCCGCAAGGCUAAAACUCAAAGAAAUUGACGGGGGCCCGCACAAGCGGCGGAGCAUGCGGAUUAAUUCGAUGCAACGCGAAGAACCUUACCAAGGCUUGACAUACACCGGAAACUUCCAGAGAUGGUUGCCCCGCAAGGUCGGUGUACAGGUGGUGCAUGGUUGUCGUCAGCUCGUGUCGUGAGAUGUUGGGUUAAGUCCCGCAACGAGCGCAACCCUCGUCCUAUGUUGCCAGCGGGUCAUGCCGGGGACUCAUAGGAGACUGCCGGGGUCAACUCGGAGGAAGGUGGAGAUGACGUCAAAUCAUCAUGCCCCUUAUGUCUUGGGCUUCACGCAUGCUACAAUGGCCCGGUACAAAGGGCUGCGAUACCGCGAGGUGAGCGAAUCCCAAAAAGCCGGUCUCAGUUCGGAUUGGGUCUGCACUCGACCCCA